UACGUAGGCAGCGAGCGUUGUUCGGAGUUACUGGGCGUAAAGCGUGCGUAGGCGGUGGUCCAAGUCUGGUGUGAAAUCUCCCGGCUUAACUGGGAGGGUGCGCCGGAAACUGGGCCGCUGGAGUACGGGAGAGGCAAGCGGAAUUCCAGGUGUAGCGGUGAAAUGCGUAGAUAUCUGGAGGAACACCCGUGGUGCAGACGGCUUGCUGGACCGUGACUGACGCUGAGACACGAAAGCGUGGGUAGCAAACAGG
rnacentral:rRNA from 1 species